GCCGCGGUGGUAACUGCGCCGGGGCUGUGUGUAGGCAGCAGCGCCAGAGGAAGAGGAGCACGAGGAUGCAGCUGCGACCGUGGCCCCAAGAGGGAGCAGCCACUGUUCUGUGGUCGUGGGGGCCAAGAAAUUGGAAUUAAGCCUGAGGGUCCUGUUGUUGAGGGGACCAGGGCAGGCGAUCGUGCCCCAAGCUCAGGCCUAGUAUCCGGGAAGAGUUCGGUCCGCUGGGCGAAGGCCUGCCGCCUUUGCUUCCUCCUGGCCCUCCAAGUCGAUGGUGGUGAAGUUGGUGGCCGCCAGAGGCACAAGCACCAGGCUGCUUCUCAUGCUUUCUGGCCCUGCUUGGACAGCUGCGACGCCGCCUCCUCUCGCCGGUGGAUCCCACCCUCAGCGGCGGGGGAGGGGGAAAGUUUUCCCCUCCGCAGGGGCUGUGUGGUGCAGGGAGACAACAAGACCUUAGGAGAGUAGGGGAAGAAGCCAACAAUUGAAUUUUCUCCUGGUUGUACUAUGCUGAGCUGGACAAAGAGAUCAUGGCGAAUGCAACAUGACCAAACAUUUCACAGUCCUGCUGCCAUAUCUUCACUGCCAUGAUGGACUGUAUCCAUUCAAACUCAAAUGAAGACCAUUGUAGAAAAGCACAACUAGACAAAAUGGAAGAGAUCAACAGACUGUGUGGAACCCAGCCCUAAUGGAUGCAUCUACACCCCAGCUCCUGUAUCUGUUACUCAGGGAACAUCACAGAAGAGGAGGCAGA